ACUUAAGCAUAUCAAUAAGCGGAGGAAAAGAAACCAACAGGGAUUACCUCAGUAACGGCGAGUGAAGCGGUAACAGCUCAAAUUUGAAAUCUGGCUCUUUCAGGGUCCGAGUUGUAAUUUGUAGAAGAUGCUUCGGGUGUGGCCCCGGUCUAAGUUCCUUGGAACAGGACGUCAUAGAGGGUGAGAAUCCCGUAUGUGACUGGGUGCCUUCGCUCAUGUGAAGCUCUUUCGACGAGUCGAGUUGUUUGGGAAUGCAGCUCAAAAUGGGUGGUAAAUUUCAUCUAAAGCUAAAUAUUGGCCAGAGACCGAUAGCGCACAAGUAGAGUGAUCGAAAGAUGAAAAGCACUUUGGAAAGAGAGUUAAACAGUACGUGAAAUUGUUGAAAGGGAAGCGCUUGCAACCAGACUUGCACGUUGUCGAUCAUCCGGGGCUCGCCCCGGUGCACUCGAUUUCGUUCAGGCCAGCAUCGGUUUCGGUGGUGGGAUAAAGGCCUUGGGAAUGUAGCUUCUUUCGGGGAGUGUUAUAGCCCUCGGUGCAAUGCCGCCUACCGGGACCGAGGACCGCGCUUCGGCUAGGAUGCUGGCGUAAUGGUUGUAAGCGACCCGUCUUGAAACACGGACCAAGGAGUCUAACAUCUAUGCGAGUGUUUGGGUGUCAAACCCAUACGCGUAAUGAAAGUGAACGGAGGUGAGAACCCUUAAGGGUGCAUCAUCGACCGAUCCUGAUGUCUUCGGAUGGAUUUGAGUAAGAGCAUAGCUGUUGGGACCCGAAAGAUGGUGAACUAUGCGUGAAUAGGGUGAAGCCAGAGGAAACUCUGGUGGAGGCUCGCAGCGGUUCUGACGUGCAAAUCGAUCGUCAAAUUUGCGUAUAGGGGCGAAAGACUAAUCGAACCAUCUUAAUUCGUC
rnacentral:rRNA from 1 species